rnacentral:lncRNA from 1 species
CACCAUAACGAGGGUUAAGGAGCACAGCAUUAGAUGCCAACCGUAUGUGGCCUCCACACUGGGCCACUUCCGUACUGAGCCAACUCCAACAUAAACUAAAAAAGUUAGUUCAUGCCUCUCUGUCUUUGCUCAAUGUCUUCUGCACUACCACGACCCCCUCUCUAGUCCAUCUAUAUAAAUCUCACCUAUUGUGAGGAGACACCAACCAAUUCAGAAAUACUUGCUUUUACACUUACUGACAAUUUACACUUAAAAACAAAGCCCAGGG